UUCCUUUCUCCUUACAGGAAUGAAGUCAGAGGGCCAGACAGAACUCACAGAAAAUGCUCCAUCCCUGGAGAAAAAUCAAGACACUGAAAUUUCAGGUGUGCGAGCCAGUGAUUCAGCCCUUCGUGCAACCCCCGGUGCUCCUCAGACCAGCACACUCACUCCUUGAUCGUGCGUGAGUCAUUCAGAAACGGAUGGAAAUGCUCAAUCUCAAAUGCUGCUUCCUGAAUGAAAACACGCCACUGACCCACGUCACCCCGGGGAGCGGGCACCCGUGACCGUGAUCGCCUGGCGGGAUGUGAGCAGCCUGACUGCUUCUCGCCGCUGACAGCGUGUGACCGGAGGACAGGGCCCACCCGCGCUCUCCCCUCUACCGAGAGCCUCUCUGGCUUCGUCCACCGCCUCCUCACGUGGCCCAGCUCACGUCUCUUCCAGGAGGUUUGCUCUGAGCAAGCUCACAAUUCUGCUUCUCCAUUGUGGGAAACCCUGCUGGGCCCUGCACUGACCCCCGCCGUGCCCGCUGGGGUGGUUGUGAGUUGCUGCGUGAAUCAGCGACCCGAAAGCUCCCCGCACCAAACCUACACCAAACCUGCACCAAAUCUGCACCAUGCUGGCUGCUCAGAAAUGACGACCAGGGGGAUUUGGUUUGAAAAUAACACAGAACACGAAGCAAAAUAAAAGGGAAAAAUGUAAGAUUUUUUUUUUUUUUUCGAGAAAUCUUCCAUUUUAAAACAGCAGGGUUUUCCUGGACAUAAACCACAGUAAGCAUCUAGCAGGUGUCAGGGUGGUGCCCGGCACAGUCCUGAACACUUGGUGUGUGCAGCUCCUUUAUCCCCACAGUCACACAAGGAGGUGACUGUGGUGUCAUCCCUGACAGACAGGGAAACCAGGCACCAGGGUUUGGGAAGUCACCCUAGUUCCCACAGUGAGAGAGGGAGAUGUGGGGCUUGGCUCCGAUCAUGUAACCACCCUGUGCCCCCUGCUCCCUGACACUAUGCACAGACUUGGGGCGUCGGGAGGUCCCCUUCUCAAGGCCCAAGGUCCAGCAUGGCCAUGUGGCUGAAGCCUCCCCGGGGGUCCCCUGGUUUUGGAGCUCCCUGCCCAGCCCAGCACCAGGACGCAGCCCCGGGAUGGGCCAACCCAGGUCACCAACAGGCCUUUCUCUUACGCUGACUCUUCCUGGGGGUCCCGAUUCAUUUCUCUCUCUGACUCCUCCGACCUCCGGGGAGCUCCUCAUCUUUAACGUGCUAAGGAAAUCAGAUUCUGUAUUGUUUUGUUGUCUAAUCAAAGUCUACUUUGAUUACAUUUUGUUCCCUUUGGAAGAACAGAGCAGCAUCCACCCCAGAAAGGCAGGCAGAGGGCCACUGGAGCGGGUGCCAGGCCCAUGUCCGGCCUGAUGCAGGAGCAGCACCCUGGGCCGCAGUCAUGGGCAGGAGGAGUCCCAGGCCUCUCACCCCAGUGAGCCCCCCAUCGGCCUCCAGCCCUGCCACUGUCUAGUGCCAUCACCUGCACACUCCCUGGCCACACAGGGGUCACUUGGACGCCACAUGCCUCAGUGAACCUCCAAGACACAUCAGGCACCAGGAGUUUUCUCCACAUUCCAGGUACUGACCAGAUAGGGCCCUCGGGCCCUUUGCAGAGAGUCUACCACGAUAGCAAUAUUGCAGGUCAUCAAUUGAAAGAAGAUUCUCACUGAAAACCAAUGCAGCCAUUGGAAGGGACCUUCCGACUCCGCCCAGGAUGAGGAACAGAGAGAGAUUUACUAAGGACCUGGGACUUCUGGCCCUGGGGGUGCCUCUGCCCCAGGAUCCCCCAGAGCUGCCCCAGCCAUCAGCUCCUCCCCCACAGAGGACCAGGGGACAGUCGCCACCUGUGACAGGGCACCCAAAGGACAGUGACACAUAAGGGGGACUAGCUGCCUGCUUCUCUGCGCCUCGCUGGGUAAACAGCAGGACUUCAGGGAGGACCGUCCAGUCCCUAAGAGGAGAGGCCACUGGGCAAGAGCACAAGGUUAACAUGAUGAAACAAAAUAUCUAUCACCAAACACAGAGAGGCUCCUUUUUCACAGCCGGGUUCUUGGGCCCUGCUGGGAGGCUUUCCACAGUCACCUUAUCCCUCUCCUUCUGGCGCUCAGGCAUUUCUUCUGGAAAAUGACUGAGCUUGAACCUCAAAUGUGGCUCUGGCUGCAAGUGGCCGAGUUGUCUGGCAAGAGCAGUACUGUAUGCUGAGUGCUUACAGCUGCACUGUGGAAUACCAGCCACGGUGGGACCACACCUGCCAGGGCCUGACCACUCCUGUCAGCGCUCUGCGUGUGCCAGCUGGCCUAAUUCUCACAACGGCGCAUCCCUCUCUAACAACUGAGGAAACAGGGGCACAGAGAUGUUAUGCAACUCACCCAAGGCCACACAGCCAGGAGAUGCAUGAGAGACAUCUAUAAGCACAAGCCAUAACUUAGAACCAUGUCUCCCCUUCUUUGUAAUAAAUUCUGAGCGCUGAGCACUGCAGGGUGGGGAUAUUAAUAAAAUGCAUUUGUUUCUA